rnacentral:misc_RNA from 1 species
GCGUAUCCACGUAUCAACCCAAUCUUAACUCUUUGUCUGAAAAAUAUUAUGAAUAAAACAAUUCAAAAUACAACUUUCAACAACGGAUCUCUUGGCUCU